ACUUACCGCUUACAUCGAGUGUUAAAUAUGCUAGUCCUUUCAUGAUUAUGUGAUAGGUGGUGCAUGGCCGUUCUUAGUUCGUGGAGUGAUCUGUCUGCUUAAUUGCGUUUCACUAAGGGCCCAUAAAUUCAAGGUAUGUUAGCUCUCGUCGCUCUAUGGACCCCUUAACUCCAAUAUUCUUAUUGUGUUAAGCGCGUGUCUUUAUUUUAAGAGUUUUAAGACACUGCGCAUG
rnacentral:rRNA from 1 species